GUUUUUGUUAAAGCGUUCGACACUAUGGUAGGAUCAAGAUUAACGACGAGAAAUGAGAAUCCUCAAUGGACGGUUGAGAAGAUGCCACGUGCUAGAGUCAUGGCAGACAUGACGCUUUCAUCUAACGGAGAUGUGUUGCUUAUCAACAGUGGUAUUGACUAAAUUUUCUAUUGCGAUUAUUAAUGAAGUUGUGUUUCAUUUUUAUUAUGUCCGAAAAAAUAUUUUAAUCUGUUUAUUUUAGUAUAAGUUAUCUAAUUUCAUUUCUAUUGUUUUUUUUUGUUAUCAGGUUAUUUUACAUUUGUUGGGCUAUGCAAGUAUUUUUUUUUUCAUAUCAGUAUUAAAAUUAUAGUUGAGUUUUUAUUUUAGUAUUAAAAAAUUAUAUUAAAUUAA
rnacentral:lncRNA from 1 species